AUGAACGCUGGCGGCGUGCCUAAUACAUGCACGUCGAGCGAACAGACGAGGAGCUUGCUCCUCUGACGUUAGCGGCGGACGGGUGAGUAGCACGUGGAUAACCUACCUAUAAGACUGGGAUAACUUCGGGAAACCGGAGCUAAUACCGGAUAAUAUAUUGAACCGCAUGGUUCAAUAGUGAAAGACGGUUUUGCUGUCACUUAUAGAUGGAUCCGCGCCGCAUUAGCUAGUUGGUAAGGUAACGGCUUACCAAGGCAACGAUGCGUAGCCGACCUGAGAGGGUGAUCGGCCACACUGGAACUGAGACACGGUCCAGACUCCUACGGGAGGCAGCAGUAGGGAAUCUUCCGCAAUGGGCGAAAGCCUGACGGAGCAACGCCGCGUGAGUGAUGAAGGUCUUCGGAUCGUAAAACUCUGUUAUUAGGGAAGAACAAAUGUGUAAGUAACUAUGCACGUCUUGACGGUACCUAAUCAGAAAGCCACGGCUAACUACGUG
rnacentral:rRNA from 1 species